UACGGAGGGUGCGAGCGUUGUCCGGAAUCACUGGGCGUAAAGGGCGCGUAGGCGGCGCGGAUAGUCGGCGGUGAAAGCCCGGAGCUCAACUCCGGGUCGGCCGUCGAUACUUCCGGGCUUGGGCACUGUAGAGGCAGAUGGAAUUCCGGGUGUAGCGGUGGAAUGCGUAGAGAUCCGGAAGAACACCGGUGGCGAAGGCGGUCUGCUGGGCAGUUGCUGACGCUGAUGCGCGACAGCGGUGGGGAGCAAACGAGG
rnacentral:rRNA from 1 species